rnacentral:rRNA from 1 species
GAUGAACGCUGGCGGCGUGCCUAAUACAUGCAAGUCGAGCGAACAGACGAGGAGCUUGCUCCUCUGACGUUAGCGGCGGACGGGUGAGUAACACGUGGAUAACCUACCUAUAAGACUGGGAUAACUUCGGGAAACCGGAGCUAAUACCGGAUAAUAUAUUGAACCGCAUGGUUCAAUAGUGAAAGACGGUUUUGCUGUCACUUAUAGAUGGAUCCGCGCCGCAUUAGCUAGUUGGUAAGGUAACGGCUUACCAAGGCGACGAUGCGUAGCCGACCUGAGAGGGUGAUCGGCCACACUGGAACUGAGACACGGUCCAGACUCCUACGGGAGGCAGCAGUAGGGAAUCUUCCGCAAUGGGCGAAAGCCUGACGGAGCAACGCCGCGUGAGUGAUGAAGGUCUUCGGAUAGUAAAACUCUGUUAUUAGGGAAGAACAAAUGUGUAAGUAACUAUGCACGUCUUGACGGUACCUAAUCAGAAAGCCACGGCUAACUACGUG